rnacentral:rRNA from 1 species
CAUGCAAGUCGAACGGAAAGGCCUCUUCGGAGGUACUCGAGUGGCGAACGGGUGAGUAACACGUGGGCAAUCUGCCCUGCACUUCGGGAUAAGCCUGGGAAACUGGGUCUAAUACCGGAUAGGACCUUUAGACGCAUGUCUUUUGGUGGAAAGCUUUUGCGGUGUGGGAUGGGCCCGCGGCCUAUCAGCUUGUUGGUGGGGUGACGGCCUACCAAGGCGACGACGGGUAGCCGGCCUGAGAGGGUGUCCGGCCACACUGGGACUGAGAUACGGCCCAGACUCCUACGGGAGGCAGCAGUGGGGAAUAUUGCACAAUGGGCGCAAGCCUGAUGCAGCGACGCCGCGUGGGGGAUGACGGCCUUCGGGUUGUAAACCUCUUUCACCAUCGACGAAGGUUCGGGUUUUCUCGGAUUGACGGUAGGUGGAGAAGAAGCACCGGCCAAC